ensembl:lncRNA
CGAUCCCCAACUCCACCCAGCGAACAGCCUGAAAAGGAAACGCACACCAAACACAGAGCACCCAAACCUCCUCUACGGCCCGUAAGGACGUAACAGUUAUGAAGACAGCCACAAUAAUAACUGAUUAGAAGCUACAUGUUACGGCAGGACACCGGUCACAUGACUGAAUAUUUAAAAAGCUGAAGUGAAAGUGCUCAGACCAAACUAGAACGGGGGAGUGAAUCUUUUCUUCAUUACGAAGAGGUCGACCAUGGAGCCCGAUGUGCUCUUCACCGAUAAAGAUGUGAAUGAAACAGAGAAAAAGGAAAUCAAGAAUUCUGGAGGUGGAGGCUGUUCGGAUGGAGAAAAAGUAGCUCAACAGGUUAACGUUAAACAGCAUGACAGUAAUUUCUGUACAAUGAGGGAACCUGUGGAACGUGAGAGCAUCAAUGCUGAAGAAGAGGAGCGCGCAAAAGGAGUUAAAAAAACUUGUGAAUUCAAAAAUGAUUCAGGAACAGGUGCCUCACCAGCAGAAGAAGGGACCAAUGAGGCUUUAACAUGGUCAGAUCUGCGUCCUGCUGGUCCAGUCCGUUUCAGCAGCGUGAGGUCCGAUUCUGUUGUUCUGAACUGGGAAGCUCCUGCAGGACUGACUGGAAACCAGAAGUUUAUGGUGAAGUGGGAGCAGAAACAGAAACUGGUUUCAGGUUCAAGUGCUGAGAUCCAGGAACUCACACCAGGAGAAGAAUAUGAAUUUACAGUAGAACCUGAAUAUGGGAACCAGAGUCCAUAUCACACCACAUCCGCAAUAAGAGGAAAAAUCCGUCUUCCUCUUGUGAUCAAUUUCAAAUUGGAGAACACCUCCAUGUGUGUGCAGUGUGAAGAUUCUGAACAUCUAAGCAGGCAUCAAAAAUUCAAACUCAGUUGGGGAAAGAUGGGGAAACUGAAGUGUGUGGACAUUCCAGGCUUAAAUACUGAGUUUCAGAACGUUGAACCAGGAGAGGAACAUGAAUUUACUGUCUACAUGCUCAGUGAUGACGACAAACCAAUUAUGUCUGCAUCUAAAAAUGUAUUGACAGAAAUCCCCCCUCCUGUAGAUGUGAAGUUGUGCUCUGAUGAUGGAACUGUCUCAGUGUCAUGGAAGAAACCUGCAGGACUGAACGCUGCAUCGUACCUCGUCUCCUUGUACAGUAAUAAGAUGCCGAUGAAGAGUUUAUACACCCAGUCUCAGAACUGUUCUUUCCAACUUCAACCUGACAAGAAGCACAUGAUCAGCAUCGAGACUGUACUGAAAAAUGGCAAAAAGAGCAAACCUGUCGAAAUUACCCCCUAUAAAGGUCAGGUUCCUGCACCAGAGAAUCUUUCUGUGGAGGUGAACUCACCAUCAGUAUCAGUAACAUGGAGAAAACCACCAGGAGUAGAUCAGGUCUCAUACCUGCUGUCCUACGGAAGUAAAGGAGAAGAAGAACAGACCAUUUCUACAGAGUCUCUCCAAUAUUCUCUAGAUGAUCUACGGUUUUGUUCAGAGUACAAGAUCAGGGUCUGUACUGUACUGAACAACCUUCACCACAGUAAACCUGUCUACAAGAACAUCAGGACAGGUAAGAAAAUUAAUUUGUGCAAAUGCAACAAAAUGAAGCCUUCUACACUUAAAGAUUGGUUAUCUGCUCAAAAUGAACAAUGGAGUCAAUUUUGAAAAGU